CGAAGGUCGUUUCCAUAUUACUUAUAUAUCAUAUAUACAUGUAUAGACAUAAAAGUACUUCCAUAUUCAUACUCAUCAGUACAUCAUUAGCUGGUUACCAUCGGGGUAACGCAGGAUCAAUACAUAUACAGAUAUACUAGAAACAAUACAUAUACAGAUAUACUAAAGAUAAUACAUAUACAGAUAUACUAGAAACAAUACAUAUACAGAUAUACUAGAAACAAUACAUAUACAGAUAUACUAGAAACAAUACAUAUACAGAUAUACUAGAAACAAUACAUAUACAGAUAUACUAGAAACAAUACAUAUACAGAUAUACUAGAAACAAUACAUAUACAGAUAUACUAGAAACAAUACAUAUACAGAUAUACUAGAAACAAUACAUAUACAGAUAUACUAGAAACAAUACAUAUACAGAUAUACUAGAAACAAUACAUAUACAGAUAUACUAGAAACAAUACAUAUACAGAUAUACUAGAAACAAUACAUAUACAGAUAUACUAGAAACAAUACAUAUACAGAUAUACUAGAAACAAUACAUAUACAGAUAUACUAGAAACAAUACAUAUACAGAGAUACGAGAAACAAUACAUAUACAGAUAUACUAGAAACAAUACAUAUACAGAUAUACGAGAAACAUUACAUAUACAUGAAUACGAUAUCAAUUGUGAUCCACUGUGUCGGAGCAUGCCUUAAAUGUCAUGGCCCGAGUUGUAGCCAGAAUUCUCUUGGAGGGAGAGCGUGAGUUUGCGUAUAGAUCUAUACUGGAUUGACUAUCCUACACCUUGCUGCUAGCUACAGCCGGACCUGCAGGUCUGCGGGUGCCAAACGUCAUUUCUUUUAUUACGACCAUUCAUUAUGUCGUUGUUACCAGUCGAUAGCAUGGUGCAAUUUAUCACAAUAUACCUUAAUAUAAAUCCGGUUUAAGGUAGUAGUAUUUAGUACAAGAGUAGUCUUAUUAUACAAAGCUACAGUACUACAAUGAUUUACCCAUUACAUAGUUUAGUGAUAAUCUCACUUAAGCAUUAAUGUACAAACUAUAUUUUAUCAAAUGAUAGUUAUACUUGGGAAAUCUCACACUUUUACAACAGACAGAUUUACAAAACAGUUUAGCCUUGGUAGAAGGUUACUUUUAUAGAAAAUAUAGGAUUUUCUGAGAGAUUCAAACUUUUACAAACACCUUCAAAACAUUUGUUUACAUUGUUACAGACUUAUACAUUGAGACAGGUUCAAACGUUUUUUACAAGAAACAUUGACACUAAAAUACUUAUGAACUCACCAGCUUAAUGCUGAUAAACUCUUUCAAAAUAACUUGUAUUCUCAGGUCAUCAGUAGACAGGUACCGAGGCCAGCUUUUGAGAAGAUGGAGUGCAUUCAAGACUCAUCCCAUAUUAUUUUGUGUUACAUUAUUUUGGUGUCUAUAACUGUACAGAACACACUUGUAUUAAAAUUAUAUAUUUAAUGCAAUGGAUGAUGUUGUUUGCUUAUUUACAAUUACUGUGUUGUGAUACUAUACAUGACGUCCUCCGCCCCAGAACGUUUCCGCCGUUCUUGGUUUUGGGGUGUGACAUUAUGUGUCUGAUAUUGCAAGAGUAUGUUUCUUUAAUCCAAGCUGUCGGAGGAUACCAACAAU
rnacentral:lncRNA from 1 species